CCUACGGGGGGCAGCAGUGAGGAAUAUUGGUCAAUGGACGAGAGUCUGAACCAGCCAUGUAGCGUGAAGGAUGACUGCCCUAUGGGUUGUAAACUUCUUUUAUAUGGGAAUAAAAUGUUCCACGUGUGGGAUUUUGUAUGUACCAUAUGAAUAAGGAUCGGCUAACUCCGUGCCAGCAGCCGCGGUAAUACGGAGGAUCCGAGCUUUAUCCGGAUUUAUUGGGUUUAAAGGGAGCGUAGGUGGAUUGUUAAGUCAGUUGUGAAAGUUUGCGGCUCAACCGUAGAAUUGCAGUUGAUACUGGCAGGCUUGAGUACAGUAGAGGUGGGCGGAAUUCGAGGUGUAGCGGUGAAAUGCUUAGAUAUCACGAAGAACUCCGAUUGCGAAGGCAGUUCACUGGACUGAAACUGACACUGAGGCUCGAAAGUGUGGGUAGCAAACAGGAUUAGAUACCCGGGUAGUC
rnacentral:rRNA from 1 species